GCCGGGCAUGGUGGCCCAUGCCUGUAAUCCUAGCUACUCGGGAGGCUGAGGCAGGAGAAUUGCUUGAACCCAGGAGGCAUAGGUUGCAGUGAGGCAAGAUCACGCCAUUGCACUCCAGCCUGGGUGACAGAGCAAAGCUCUGUCUCAG
rnacentral:SRP_RNA from 2 species